AGUUUAAAUUGCCUUUUUAAAUUGCUAUAUAGAAGCAUCAGGUAUAUUUGAGCUUUUUUUAAAAUCCUGUCCGUUCUAAUCAGGGAAAGAAAUGGCCGAAAAGUGGAGAGGAAAGAAAAAGCUGCUUUUUAUAUUUUUUAUAGUAGUUAUAUUACCUUUAGGGACCCUACAACUGAAGAGGGUGGAGAGAAUAAAGAAAUGGACUUUCAUUCAUAUCUGCUUUGUCUUCAUAAAGAAACCUGCAACAGAUGGAACCAGUCUAUGUGGCCAAGCUGACAGGAUUUGAAAAGUGCGUGAUUUUUAGCCUUUCCAGAAUGCAAAUAACUUGCUUGAUGUAUUUCCAUUUUCCAGCUAUAGAAACAAUCCAGCUGCCUGGAAACUUAUUAGUAUGGAAGCAGCUUUAAAAAAAAGCACCCUUGAAUACUGGACUCAGCAGAUCUUCUUUAAACUUACAUGAUAUUCCUAUGUCCAUUAGCAAUUGAAUCCAGGCAUAGCCAGGCUCAGUUACACAGCUGUAUGUGACCGAGAAGCCCAUUUUGUGUCACUUCUGCACACUCAUCAGCUGUUGACACCUUCUUAGAGGCGCUGCAUUUUUGUUUAAUUCUUCAUCUCCCUUUCCCAAGGAAUGGGCAGUCUACCAAACUCUUCCAGAUCAAUGCUUUGUUGGAAAGUGAUAAAUUUAAGAGAAUUUUAACAUGUUAAAUUUAAAGCCAAUUCAGUAGCCUUAUUUGUUCCAAAACUCUUUAACCAAUAAUGUGAUAGAAAGUUAGCAUUUGGGAAACUUGUGUAGUAAACAACUGAUUUGGAAACAUGAAGAUAUUAAAAUGGCAGCCAGCUAACUGUCUCUUGAGCCACUAUGCUGUUUCUACCAAUGGAAAGAUGAGGGUGGCAAAUUAAGCCUCAUUCAGUAGGCCUGCUGUCCAGUGGAACUUACUGAACUCAUUUCCUCCUCUAUCCCUAGCCCUUCUCCGGACUACUCUGGUGAUAACCAGGGGCAUAGAAGACCUUCUCUCUUAUCCUUCUCUUCUCCAGUAGGAUAGUUUCCUUCAGUCAGUAGCUCACAUGAACUCCAGACUUUAUUUUAUAUCUCUGAAGUACUUGAUCUAGGGAAGAUGAUUGACUUUAAUUCCAUUUUUAUACGAAAGUGGUACAUACAGCCAUCUAUUUUUCUACAUUGCCUCUAAGCUUAUGUAAUUUUCCGUUUUUAAAUCUUCUCUUAAAUAUACUGAGAAUCUUCUGUCUCCUUUUCUAGAGGCUGAUCUAACUACAUUUAUUGGCUGUUUUUCCAAGCUUUGUGCUAAACUUGCUAACACUGGGCCAGCAAAAUACAAAGUAGACUACAGUUUUCAGGCAGAAAAUCACAUCCAAAGAAUCUGGCCUGGAUUCAACAACCUCCCUCUACCACCUGUAGCUCUCACACGGGCUGAACAUUUUCCUAAACUCUAGCUGUGCAGUGAGAGGUUCUCUGCCUUUGAAACUAUGAGAAUGUCUUAAAUGAUUAUUUAUCUUUAUAGUAUGAGCUGCCAAUGCAUUAUCUAAUACUUAGUAUAUCAAGAAGGAACUCAAAUGUUGUCAAGCACACAUUAGCAAUGGUUUGUUAAUGUCCCUGUCAAAGUUGUACCUACUUUCCUUCAUUGAUUUCUUCAGGGGCUUUCUUCCACUUUCAUCUCAUGAAACAAACGACUUUGAUUGUUCAGCUGGGUUAGCUUUCCAGGUCCAUCUUUCCAAAAUGAAAGGUUAGUCCCAUAGACGACUGGGUAUCUAGGGAAAUUACUCUCUACCUCCUCAUGGCUAAGUCUUCCCGGAUUAACUCUCUGCCAACUCUUAGUAUGGAUUUUGAAUUCCAGAUUUCUUUAUAGGAGAUGUAUAAAAAGGAAUUUAUAGCAUACAGAAAUUAUACUGCUCUUCCCAUUAAAGGACUAAAAGGACAUUUUAAAUCUUUACACUUAAGAUGUUUUUGUGAACUGUAAAUCUUUUUCUUCUCUUCAUGCUAACUUGUCUCUAGAUAAAAUCUCAUUUCUUCAUGCAUCGGACCACAAGGCAUGAAGAGGGUAGCUCAGCCCCUCCGAGAUUGUGUUCUGCAUAAUCUUUGAAAGGCUUCCUUUUCCAUUGAUAAAUCCGUGAGCCAGAGGGAAAGUCUAGUAACAAUUUUCCUGUUUGCUUAUAAUGACACAAGUAAGUUUUAGGGAUCUAGCUAAGGGAUAAGUCUACUCCAAAACUAUUAAUUUUAUAAUUCUAUAAUUUCCCAAGGCAUAAUGACCCUACUGUCAGCUAGAUGUCUAAUAUUCAGUGUGUAAGCUUUAAGAAAAAGGACUUCCCUUAAAGAACCAAUCUAAAAAUACUUCUAAAAAGGCAGAAACUUUUAAAAUUAGAAUUUUUAUGAAUUUUUAGAGAAAACAUAUUACUGAUUUGUAUUAGUCUUUUCCUUUCAUCGAGUUUUAAAAGUUUUAAUUUAGACUAGCAUGCCAAGUCGAUGUCCUUGGACUUUGAUUUCGGGGAUCGUGCUUUGGCUUGGGAAUAAGCACUGUCCCGCAUGCCCGGAACCUAAGUGAGGGCAGUCAGCAUCCUAGUAUGAAUCGGACCUAGCAGAAAUGUAAAUUACUUCACAAAGUGCUUUAGAGUUUAGUUUUCUUAGUGACACCCUGGACCCUGGAUGCUGCUGUCUAAAGUGCAUUUGAUCCGUGCAGUUACAUGUCUUCAUGUAACUGGGGCCUUGUGAGGUUGCAAGCAAUGGGAUGACCAAGAAUAAAAGGAUGGAUGGAGGAGAAAAAUGUGAACGAGCCUAAUGCAAUGUUUUGCUGAUAGAUUACAUUGUUAGAGAGCUGGUGAUUUGGGGGCAUGGUCAUAUCAUGGGCAGCUUUUCAAUGGAAAUUGAAGGUAUCUGUUAGGCAAAUAUGAGUGCCCAUGAUCUUGUGUUUAUCAGUGCCAGACAGUACUGGAAAAGCAGGUACCCCAGUUAAACUGGUCUGUACUUGGUUUAACAGCGCCGACAGUUUCAAAUCCAUGGGGCUGCUCGUCCAUAAACCCUGUUUACUGCAUGCCUGUUCAAAAGUCAUUUUGAUGUCUAGCUUCGUUUUGCUUUUCUCCUUUCAAUAUUUGUUUCAGUCUCCUUUUCCUUCAUAUUCCGUGGCUAUUUCUUACAUUUCUCCCAGACCCAGAUUUUUUCACCCCUCUGCAUCACAGACAAUCGAGUAUCUCUCGCAGCCCCUCCUCCAUCCCCUCAUACCCUGUGCUCCAUUCUCAGCCGUUUGGACAGGGAGCCCCGCUGUCACCAAGGAGCCCAUGUGAGACACACUGCUGUGACUGCCUCUUGUUAAUGUCAGUAUCACCUCAUCACUUCGGCAAAAAGGAAAAUCCAUAAAAGAGAUGGAAAAUACGUCUCUUUCAUUUUAUUCUACUUUAAGAAGGUUGGCUGGGGUGGGGGGCAUGUUAUUCUAGGCCUUCUCAAUUUCUCAGAUUUACCUUAAACUAAGGCCAUUCUUUUGACAAGUUUGUACAUCAGACCGGGUCACCAGCUAUGAUGCAGAAGUCUAAAUUUUUCAAUCUGAAGUAACUUUGUGCUGCUGGACAAAUUGACUUAAUGCUGUGCAGGCAAACACUGAAUCCUAAGGCUUUUUAUUGUCACUCCAUUCUUACUACUAUUCAUGAUUCAAGCAUCUACCCCUGUUCUGAAUCAGGAUGUUGACACUUUGUGGUAUUUUCAGAUCAACAGUAACUGCUACACUCUUGAAAGCACUUAAAGUGUAAGCAUGUCCUAAAUUGUCAACCAUUUAACCUGGUAAAACAUAGGCUUUUCUGUUUAAUUAUUAUACCAAUCUGUAGAUACAAUCUGAAAGGGUUUUCGGCAGUAACUAAGACAGUUGGGAAAGGAGAAGGCACUUUAAAGACAUGAGACCUUACGUUACAUGCUCUUCCAUACUUUUAAGCAUAAUCUCAUUGGAUUCAGGUAUUUUUCCCUUUGCUUAAAAAUGUAUUUCUAAUUUGCAUAUUUAAUUUUGUCAAAGCUGAGAAAUGCUCAUGAGUUGAGUUCAUAAAUGUCAUUUGCAACCAAAUGAAGUAUUUAUUUUUAAAAAGGGUGAAGGAACCAAUUUGUACAUGUGUAUUAUAUAUUUUUCCUCCUUGACAGUACUUGGUCACCCUAUCAAGUGUAUUUUUGUACAUAAUAUACAUUGCUUAGAAAAGUGUCAAUUGUCUAUUCAAUAAAAUUCUAUCUCUGAUAGAUUUUAUUUAUCCUAAUCUGUUGAUACCUCUAUUCACUUAAGAGAUAGAAUUAUAUUUUUGGGAAUUUGCAGAGAAUUGCAUUCAUGGGUUUCCAUUGUAAAUAUGCUAAGGGUAUUUUAAUAAAUCUUGGUUUCAUGUCCA